UGCAGAAUUAUGACUUAUUGACUGAUACGCAUUCUACCGAUUCUGAUGAUUCAGUCUUCCUGCCUAGACUGAAAUUUACAAGAUCAAAGAGAAAAAAAACAACAGAUAGUGACAAUGUGAUGAGUUAUACCUACUGUCAUUCUGGGGCGGGACCCAGUACCCUCCUUUCUUCAACUAGCCAUACCCCAUGUUCACUGUCAACAGCUACACCAACAACAACUGCUGCAAUAGCCGUUUGCAAUCCACUGAUUGACAACGCAUCAGGCAGUCAAAACAAGAAUAUUUCUACAUCUCAGCAGCCUGGUCAGCAGUGGCUUCCAGCUGGAACCCCAACAG